UAGGGAAUCUUCGGCAAUUGACGGAAGUCUGACCGAGCAACGCCGCGUGAGUGAAGAAGGUUUUCGGAUCGUAAAGCUCUGUUGUUAGAGAAGAACGUUGGUAGGAGCGGAAAAUCUACCAAGUGACGGUAACUAACCAGAAAGGGACGGCUAACUACGUGCCAGCAGCCGCGGUAAUACGUAGGUCCCGAGCGUUGUCCGGAUCUAUUGGGCGUAAAGCGAGCGCAGGCGGUUCUUUAAGUCUGAAGUUAAAGGCAGUGGCUUAACCAUUGUACGGUUUGGAAACUGGAGGACUGGAGUGCAGCAGGGGAGAGUGGAAUUCCAUGUGUGGCGGUGAAAUGCGUAGAUAUAUGGAGGAACACCGGUGGCGAAAGCGGCUGUCUGGUCUGUAUCAGACGCUGAGGCUAGAAAGCGUGGGGAGCAAACAGG
rnacentral:rRNA from 1 species